AACGAACGCUGGCGGCGUGCCUCAUACAUGCAAGUCGUACGGUACUUUUUGGCCGCAAGGUUAGAAGUGCCGUGGCAGACGGGUGCGUAACACGUAGGUAAUCUUCCCCUAUGUUUGGCAUAAACCUUCAAAGGGGGGUCUAAUACCGAAUAACGUUUCGGGUUGGCAUCAACUUGAAACCAAAGGUGGCCUCUGCUUGCAAGCUAUCACAUAGGGAUGAACCUGCGCCCGAUUAGGUAGUUGGCGGGAUAACAGCCCACCAAGCCUACGAUCGGUAGCCGGCCUGAGAGGGUGUCCGGCCACACUGGGACUGAGAUACGGCCCAGACUCCUACGGGAGGCAGCAGUAGGGAAUAUUGCGCAAUGGCCGCAGGGCUGACGCAGCAACGCCGCGUGGGGGAUGAAGGUUUUCGGAUCGUAAACCCCUGUCGAGAGGGAAGAAAGGUGGAUGGGUGAACAAUCCAUCCGCUUGACGGUACCUUUAGAGGAAGUUCCGGCCAACUUCGUG
rnacentral:rRNA from 1 species